rnacentral:rRNA from 1 species
UACGUAGGGGGCAAGCGUUAUCCGGAUUUACUGGGUGUAAAGGGAGCGUAGACGGUAUGGUAAGUCAGAUGUGAAAGCCCGGGGCUCAACCCCGGGACUGCAUUUGAAACUAUCAAACUGGAGUGCAGGAGAGGUAAGUGGAAUUCCUAGUGUAGCGGUGAAAUGCGUAGAUAUUAGGAGGAACACCAGUGGCGAAGGCGACUUACUGGACUGUAACUGACGUUGAGGCUCGAAAGCGUGGGGAGCAAACAGGAUUAGAUACCCGGGUAGUCCCUGAGCGGGCU